GCCCCAACCUAGGAACAACCCAAAAGUCACCAACACAAGAAAGAGUACGACAGACAUUUUCAACCAGGGAUGAGUUUACGCUCCCUCCCCACCUUCCUUCCUUGCCCCUGCUGCACUGCUUAGAGUCCCCAUCACAUGGGAACUCACUGGAUUUGACCAAAGUCUCCGAUUCCCAGGUGCCCAGGAAGUCGCGGUGCCCGGUGUAGACAGCUGGAGUGGGAGAGGUGGCAGCAAGGAAACGGGGCUGCCAGGCUGGAAGAAAACCGACAGCCCUCAGGAAGGAACUGGCCAUCGAGAAACAGCCCGACCGCAGCCAUCCAGGCAGGUGGAGGUCCGGAGGCCUCAGAAGAGGAUCAUUUCCAAGCACCUUGGCUUGGCAUUCAAGGCCCACCGUGUCGUCAUUUUAUCCACCACUCAGCCUUGGCUCUGUCCACCUCACUCUUGCCUCUACAAAGCACUCCAUUGAAAG
rnacentral:lncRNA from 1 species